UCGACCCCUAAGGCGAGGCCGAAAGGCGUAGUCGAUGGGAAACAGGUUAAUAUUCCUGUACUUGGUGUUACUGCGAAGGGGGGACGGAGAAGGCUAUGUUGGCCGGGCGACGGUUGUCCCGGUUUAAGCGUGUAGGCUGGUUUUCCAGGCAAAUCCGGAAAAUCAAGGCUGAGGCGUGAUGACGAGGCACUACGGUGCUGAAGCGACAAAUGCCCUGCUUCCAGGAAAAGCCUCUAAGCAUCAGGUAACAUCAAAUCGUACCCCAAACCGACACAGGUGGUCAGGUAGAGAAUACCAAGGCGCUUGAGAGAACUCGGGUGAAGGAACUAGGCAAAAUGGUGCCGUAACUUCGGGAGAAGGCACGCUGAUAUGUAGGUGAAGCGACUUGCUCGUGGAGCUGAAAUCAGUCGAAGAUACCAGCUGGCUGCAACUGUUUAUUAAAAACACAGCACUGUGCAAACACGAAAGUGGACGUAUACGGUGUGACGCCUGCCCGGUGCCGGAAGGUUAAUUGAUGGGGUUAGCGGUAACGCGAAGCUCUUGAUCGAAGCCCCGGUAAACGGCGGCCGUAACUAUAACGGUCCUAAGGUAGCGAAAUUCCUUGUCGGGUAAGUUCCGACCUGCACGAAUGGCGUAAUGAUGGCCAGGCUGUCUCCACCCGAGACUCAGUGAAAUUGAACUCGCUGUGAAGAUGCAGUGUACCCGCGGCAAGACGGAAAGACCCCGUGAACCUUUACUAUAGCUUGACACUGAACAUUGAGCCUUGAUGUGUAGGAUAGGUGGGAGGCUUUGAAGUGUGGACGCCAGUCUGCAUGGAGCCGACCUUGAAAUACCACCCUUUAAUGUUUGAUGUUCUAACGUGGGCCCCUUACCGGGGUUGCGGACAGUGUCUGGUGGGUAGUUUGACUGGGGCGGUCUCCUCCUAAAGAGUAACGGAGGAGCACGAAGGUUGGCUAAUCCUGGUCGGACAUCAGGAGGUUAGUGCAAUGGCAUAAGCCAGCUUGACUGCGAGCGUGACGGCGCGAGCAGGUGCGAAAGCAGGUCAUAGUGAUCCGGUGGUUCUGAAUGGAAGGGCCAUCGCUCAACGGAUAAAAGGUACUCCGGGGAUAACAGGCUGAUACCGCCCAAGAGUUCAUAUCGACGGCGGUGUUUGGCACCUCGAUGUCGGCUCAUCACAUCCUGGGGCUGAAGUAGGUCCCAAGGGUAUGGCUGUUCGCCAUUUAAAGUGGUACGCGAGCUGGGUUUAGAACGUCGUGAGACAGUUCGGUCCCUAUCUGCCGUGGGCGCUGGAGAACUGAGGGGGGCUGCUCCUAGUACGAGAGGACCGGAGUGGACGCAUCACUGGUGUUCGGGUUGUCAUGCCAAUGGCACUGCCCGGUAGCUAAAUGCGGAAGAGAUAAGUGCUGAAAGCAUCUAAGCACGAAACUUGCCCCGAGAUGAGUUCUCCCUGACUCCUUGAGAGUCCUGAAGGAACGUUGAAGACGACGACGUUGAUAGGCCGGGUGUGUAAGCGCAGCGAUGCGUUGAGCUAACCGGUACUAAUGAACCGUGAGGCUUAACCUUACAACGCCGAAG
rnacentral:rRNA from 1 species